rnacentral:rRNA from 1 species
AAUGAACGUUGGCGGCGUGGAUUAGGCAUGCAAGUCGCGCGAUAAGCCCCGCAAGGGGCCGAAAGCGGCGUAAGGGAGAGUAACGCGUGGGUAUCUGCCUUCAGAUCUGGGAUAGCUGCGGGAAACUGCAGGUAAUACCGGAUAAUGUCUCCGGACCAAAGGUGUGAUUCCGUCUGAAGAUGAGCCCGCGUCCUAUCAGCUUGUUGGCGGGGUAACGGCCCACCAAGGCAACGACGGGUACUGGGUGUGAGAGCACGACCCAGCUCACUGGGACUGAGACACUGCCCAGACACCUACGGGUGGCUGCAGUCGAGGAUCUUCGGCAAUGGGCGCAAGCCUGACCGAGCGACGCCGCGUGUGGGAUGAAGGCCUUCGGGUUGUAAACCGCUGUCAGAGGGGAGGAAAUGGCUGGGGGUACUCCCCCAGUCUUGACCUAUCCUCAGAGGAAGUACGGGCUAAGUUCGUGCCAGCCGCCGCGGUAAGAC